rnacentral:rRNA from 1 species
CCCUUAGAUGUCCUGGGCCGCACGCGUGCUACACUGACGCCUACAGCGAGUACUUCCCAGCCCCGAGAGGCGGCUGGUAAUCAGCAAUAGGCGUCGUGAUGGGGAUAGAUCUUUGGAAUUCUGGAUCUUGAACGAGGAAUGCCUAGUAAGCGCAGGUCAUUAGCCUGCGUUGAUUACGUCCCUGCCCUUUGUACACACCGCCCGUCGCUCCUACCGAUUUCGAGUGGUCCGGUGAAUCUUUCGGACUGCGCGCAGCUUCGUGCCGUGUCGCGGAAAGUCAGGUAAACCUAAUCACUUAGAGGAAGGACAAGUCGUAACA